AUAAAUAUCUUUUGUUCUUUAUUUAAUUGCUCUUGGCUUUUACUAACAGUGAUCAGUCUUACAUGUAGAAUCCUGAAUUGUAACCACAUUUGUCACAGAAUUAUUUUAAAGUGCAUACUUCUUUCUUAUAGGAGCAAAAAUCCAGCAACAAUUGGCCAAAAUACAUAAUAAUGUAAAGAAACUUCAGCAUCAGUUAAAAGAUGUGAAGCCUACACCUGAUUUUGUUGAGAAGCUCAGAGAAAUGAUGGAAGAAAUUGAAAAUGCAAUUAACACUUUUAAAGAAGAGCAGAGGUUGAUAUAUGAAGAGCUAAUUAAAGAAGAGAAGACAACUAAUAAUGAGUUGAGUGCCAUAUCAAGAAAAAUUGACACAUGGGCUUUGGGUAAUUCAGAAACAGAGAAAGCUUUCAGAGCAAUCUCAAGCAAAGUUCCUGUAGACAAAGUAACACCAAGUACUCUUCCAGAAGAGGUACUAGAUUUUGAAAAAUUCCUUCAGCAAACAGGAGGGCGACAAGGUGCCUGGGAUGAUUAUGAUCACCAGAACUUUGUAAAGGUGAGAAACAAACAUAAAG
rnacentral:sRNA from 1 species